GAGGAUUAGGGUUCGAUCCUGGAGAAGGAGCAUGAGAAAUGGCUACUAUUUCUAAGGAAAGCAGCAGGCGCGUAAAAUUAUUCAAUGGGGAAUAUCUUCCCGAAAUAGUGACAAAAAAUACCGAUGUAUUGAACUCAGUUCAGUACAAUUGGAAUGGAAACAAUCCAAAACCCUUAUUGAGUAACAAUUAGAGGGCAAGUCUGGUGCCAGCAGCCGCGGUAAUUCCAGCUCUAAUAGCGUAUAUUAAUACUGUUGCAGUUAAAACGCUCGUAGUUGAACUUAGGAUUAUUACAAGUCUGGUUUUGUUGAUUCAAAACUGCUUGCUUAAUUCUUAUCUACUAGAUACUCUGUUCUGUACUUAAUUGUAUGGAAUAUCACCUAGCCAGUGGAACUUGUUAAUGUGUCCUUUAUUGAUACCAGAGUGUAAAAACUUAGAAGUGUUAACAAGGAUCACACUAUUUGAUUGAAGUGGGGUUCUAGUUAAUUUACUUU
rnacentral:rRNA from 1 species